CAUGAACCAUCCUGUCGGCGGCUGGCUGUAAACAGUGCCGGGCCUACGAGUGAUGUAUUAAUCGCGCGACUCAACGAAUCGAUGACCAAAUUCGUUGCCAACGCUUUUAGGAAUCGAUUGUUAUCGAUUCGUUGUUGCAGCCCUAGUGUAGAAACAAUUCCAUGGUAACGUCUCUGCCACCAGUCUGUGAAUGUAAUUUGUUGACGGUCCCUAAAACAGGUAGCAGCCAGAACGUAGAUGACGUUGUUGCACAGACAUCGAUAGCGACAACAUGUGUUUGUGAUUUUUCGCGAUACGGUGUCCUAAACUGUCCUCAACACCCGUAAUGUAUUGCACUUGUGUUGAUGAAUCAGUUUGGGUGGUAAACCGAAUAUCCGGCGAAUAUCAAACCGGAGGCUAACUUGCACCUGUUGAGGCAGUAUGCUCCGGUAGAGCUGCUCUUUAUUAUCGCGCUAACCGGGGCUAACAGAGCCUGUCUCUUCCCGUCCUAUUAAAUGUACUUAUGGGAGAGAGACCGAUUAAAUCCGGAUAUUUUAAUAAGUAUGGAAGGGGAGAUUUGGAGGUAUCUGGUCAGGCCUUUGUCAGCCUACAAAUCCCAGAUGUGGAGACUGCAGGGAUAUCUCACGGAGAGGACACUAAAGACCCAUCUCUCAUUCAUCGAGUGGACUCAUUGGUUUGCGAAUGACCACAAAGAUGCUCCCAUGGGCAGAUUGCUGCAUGGCAUUUGCCACUUAUUCAAAUUGUAGAGGUUGAAGCAGUCUUCAUUGUGGUCACUUGCCAUAACACUGUCAUGUGUUUUAUCAAAACAACAUCAGUAACAUUUAAAUUGAGUUGAUGUGGACGGCUCUUUUUUUUUGUCCGAUUUUUUCAGUGUUCAGUGCCUGUUUGUGAGAUAUGCAUUGUUUGAAAGAUAAGCCUUUGAUUUUGUUUAAUUUUAAUAUGCCUUUCAUCAACAGUGGUUUGGGGUUUUACAACAACAAUUAAAAUGAUUAACUACUGGUGAACGAAGUUGCAGAACAUAUAUGGUACAAGUUUGUGUUGAUUGCAUGGAAAAGGGAAUAACCAGUUAUAACUUAUAUGGUAAGAGCCUGGUAAUACCAUGGAAACAAACCAGGCUUCCAUUUACACUACAGUUUCAGCUUACUCAGUGGUUAAAUUGUCAUGUUUUACUUAGUAACGUCGCAGAACGCACAUGGUACAAGUUGGUGUUGACUGCAUGGAAAAGGGACUUAUGUAUUACAAAUUAUAUGGUAAGAACCUGGUAAUACCAUGGAAAUAAACGAGGCUUCCUUUUACAGUACAUUUUCAGCUUACUUACUUGGUAAACUGUUGUGUUUUACUUGGUAACGUCGCAGAACGUGCAUGGUACAAGUUUGUGUUGACUGCAUGGAAAAGGGAAUAAUGUAUUACAAAUUAUAUGGUAAGAACCUGGUAAUACCAUGGAAACAAACAAGGCUUCUUUUUACAGUACAGUUUCAGCUUACUUACUGGGUAAAUUGUCGUGUUUUACUUGGUAACGUCGCAGAACGUACAUGGUACAAGUUUGUUUUGAGUGCAUGGAAAAG
rnacentral:lncRNA from 1 species